UGUUUCAUUGAUGCAUCUUUAACAAUUUUCUAUCUAUUCUCUUUCAAGGCAAACCUUAGCCUUUUAAAGGUAUUCUUCUAAACUCUCAUCAUUGGGGGUUGAAAAUCUUUUUGCGAAUCCCAUUCGACUGCUUUGAAUAGAAAGGCUGACAAUAUUUUGGUUACUAUGCAAUUGAAACAUAUCGAUUGGAAAUAUUUAUUUUUCCGAGUGCUGAAAUCUCUCUCUACACGAAGAGUUUUUAUUCAGUUAUUUUUGACCUUCGAACUAACACAAAGUUCCUGGAACAAAUUUGCAACUUAUUGUACAUUGAAAUAUUUUAAAGAGCGCACGAACCUAAUGCAAUUUUUUCAUAUUUAAAGUUUUGUUCAGGGCUAUGUUAAAUGGCGUUAAGAGUUUUACUGGUAUUCGGUAAGCGGGUGAUUAAUUCUAUAUGAUUAAAGUAGUGAUAAAAUAGGGGUUGUAGGGUAUAAAAAAAAGGGUAGUAACAGGAGAUGUUCUAAGUGGUUGUAGUUGCACAAAUAAAUAGCGGAAUAAAUAAAUAAAUGAUAACAGCUACCCUAAUUCUGGAUAUCUGGCACUCUGCUCUUUCCCCGCUACAUACAUUUUAUAGAUUCCAUUCCUAUGUACAUUUUCUCCAAACAAUUUUCACUUGGGUUUGCUGUACUCUGCUCCAAAUUUAGAAAUUCUGUCCCCAUUCAAUGACAGCUUUUCUUGAUGAAAAUGAAUUAUCCAGCAUCAAAGUGCGCCACACAACAAAUUUGUUACAAUGUGAAAUCAAACAAUUGGAUUCUAUGUUUAGAAUGUGCACUCUGUGCUUUUCGUUCUUAAAUAUUUUUGUAUUUUUCUAGACGUGUAUUUUAUUUCCACAUGUGGAUUUCCUUCCUUUUUUAUUUAUUUGAAAUUGAAUUUACCCCCAAAUUGGAUCAGUUUUCUAACAAAUGAUGGCUCUUGAAGUCUACUUUGUUGUUACUAAAUGUGUUACAAUGUUUGUGGAUAACAAAUAUUUUAAUAAACUAUCAAAAACUACAGGAAAAUAUAUUUCAUAGAAAACAAAAAAAGCGCCACAGAGCUCUCUCUUGUAGUUGUAAUUAAGUUUUAGAGUUAAUCCUUGUAAUCUUGGAUGUUAAAUGUUUUCGUGGAGUUUAAUUUGAUCGUUCCGCUACCUUUCAAGUGUCAUUUUAUAUCUGUUCCGCUGUGCUGUUCGAACAACAGCUACGCAGGUUAAAGGUUAUUUACAAUUUUCUGAUUGAUUUCCAAUGUUCAACCAGGAUCAAGGCUGUACAAUAAACGAAUCUAUUCGCAGAGAGCAGGGACAAAUAUCCAAGUUAAAGUUUUGCACAGCACAGAUUUUUGUUUUGUUUUGUUGAAGUAAAAUCACAUAAAACCUGUAUUGUGGUUGUUGCGUUGAGGGGAAAGAGAGGCACGCUGCGAGAGUAGAGCUGACUCGCUCACACCAAGGGCGCGCAGGCGGCAGAUAAAUGCGCAGCCAUUUUUGACGCGAGCGAGUAGAAGGCAAAGGCCACACCUCUGACAGGGGAAAAUAGUGGGAAAUUUGAGCGAGUGCGAUUAGCCAGCCAAGCAGCAGCAGCAGCAGCUGGCUUUUCGUGGAGAGGAAAAUUCUGCGCGCUGCCUACACAUUUGGCCAGGAAAUUUCCCAGCAACAUGCAACGGCCAAAGUUUCAGCUGGCGAAACGAAUCGAAACGAAACGAGGGAACUAUAUCGGAGACAUGCACUACGAGGAGAGCUUUUUAUGGUGCACCCUACACGCUGUGCCUGUGUGGCCACCAUUUGCUCAAAAUGGCGUCGACGGAAGAGUGCCUGUCGGCGGAAUGAAUGCCGAUAAAUCAAAGUUCCUCGCAUCGAGCCUAAUUUGAAAAAUGCGCACACAUCGCCAGUGCCGGAGCCAGUGCCAGUGCCGAUGCCAGUGCCUGGGGCAGAGAGAGAGAGAGAGAGAGCGACAGAGAGGCAAGGCCCACUACGGAGGCAAGUGGCAGUGGCGGCUGCCGCAGCGGCAUUUCAUCAGAGGGAAUUAAUCAGAGCAGAUGAAGCGACAACCGAAAAAUAACGACGCGGCAUCUCUUAAAGACCUCGCCUCGCCUUAUCUCCUCAAUCGCCAGAUCCAGAGCCACAUCCCCAGCCACCAGCCACCAGCCGGCUUUCAGUGCGUGUCCGUGCCUCUGCCACGACCCGUUUGGUGUGCAGCAGCCUCUCCUCUCGCUCCUCUCGUGCGUACUCCUCUCGUAUGUAUACAUAUAUUAUUGAAAACUGGCGCUUGGAGCGACAUCAGCGGAAUGUCAUUGAGCGAUGUGGGAAUGGGAAUGGGAAUGGACAAACAUGUCCGGUCUGACGUUUAUGAAAAGCCUUACCAUCGCAGCAUCAAAGCCAAUUAAGAUACUGGACUCCACUCUACUCCACUCCCAAUACAAGCUCUAAAAAGGGAAUACGCGGCUAAUUUCUGCGACAAAGCCGACAAACGAUCCAGCAUCCAGCGUCCAGCAACCCAAUGUCCAAUGUCCAAGAGGAGACUGUGGAGAGCCGAGAGUCUCGAGAAGCGGCACUUUUGUCGCAAACACACAGGCCGUAAAAUUAAGAACUCUGAUUGGUAACAAAUGUUUUUGUUCAUUCGAGUGAUAAAAACGUAGCGAACCGAAAAGAUAUAAAAUUCUCUUUAGUGUCUUCCCAGCCCAGCGAUGAUAAAAUAUUUAAAUGAGUCGAAAGAACGAACGGUUCUCUCUCUUUCACUCUCUCGCGGACACUUUUAGGAAAUCAGAGAACCAGAAGAGACCCCUUAAUGGCCGCGCGCACGCACUCGGACAUGGACUCGGAGCAGAGAGCGGCAUGGAUGAUAUGGAGGACAUCGACAACAACGACAAGAGCGUACAGUGGGUACCACAGCGACAGCGACUAAGACCAAGGGCAAAGUGUGAAACACCGACUGAGGCGUAACGCCCAUAGUGCUCGCUCCCCGAUAACCACUGUAUCCGAAGAGUAAGUCGGUCGGCUGUCAUGAUUAAAUAAAACUCCAAUGCAAACGGUCCGGCUAGGAUAUUAAAUUACAGCCAUAACGGCUUUGGGAUUGACUCCGACAGUGGAAGGAGUAGAAGGAGUGACAAGGGGCAGAGACAAAGGUAAAGGCCAUGCCGGCAGGACAAACAACCCAAAAAAGGCUUGCCACAGUGUCUUUUUGGGCCCAAGUCCAAGUCGCAAACCCAAUCCAAGUCCAGGCCAACACAGACACAGCGACAGAGACACAAAUGCAUGGAUACACGGCGACUCAGAUACAGGAAAAGAGCCACGACAAAAUCAUAAAAGACAUAAACAGUUGUAAAGACCCAAACCACAAAGGGCGUAGAAUCAAAAUUGAGCACUAAAACGUUAUCGAGGUCGUCUCAGAUUAACUAGCCUUUUUGCUGUGUCGAUGACAGGACCGACGACACACUGAAUACUGGAUACUGGAUGUGGACUGGGCAGGGGCCAGGCCAUGCCAGGCAUGCGGACAGAUAUGCGAGCGUAACGCGUCGCUUCGGAUCAACGCAUGGCCAGGGGCAGGGGUCUGGAGACAAGAUGACCUGACUGCCGUGUAAUCCCGGACCUGUCCUGUCCAGUUCCCCCCGCUGGCUGACUGGCUGGCUGACUGACUGGACGGUGCCUUGUCGCCGACCCACAACAGUGCUAUUGUGCGACAAGUUUGUCAUUCACAACCGUCGCGACGAUAAGAAACCAUUACGAGUGUAUGAAAGAGCAAAGGACAUUGUGCCGAGGAGAGAGAUCUCAUUGAAUGGCGCCAGUUUCACAAUGAAUUCUGAUUCUGUCCAAAUUAUGGGAAUAUUUUCCGCCAUGGUUUCCUAGCGGGGUAGCGUAGGGUUUGUUUUUUACAAGACCUCCUUAGGUGCGAGAGGAAGAUUUGCUGCUUGUUUUCCACUUCUUUGAAUUCUUUGAAAUCCCCAAAAAAUAUGCUGAUUCCUCAUACGUCUUUUGGCGCUUUUUGCUGCCCACACAGCAGCUACGAAAGUGGCGCAUGAAAAGUGGCCAAUUUAAUGGCAUAUUAAGUACGAGUGUACAUAAAAAUAUAAAUACAUAAAAUAUUCUAGGUUAACGCCACAUAUUUCAAACAUUUGCUACCCCCAAUUGGAUUUUAUGGGACUCGACGUUGAUUGCGGGGUGUAUCCAAGGAGGGCACUCGCCAUAAUGCCUGGCCAGGCCUGGCUCUUUAAGGGAACAUAAUUUCAUCCACGUGUCGGGGAUUACACAUUAACAUCGCUACUGUGCAUGUUGUGUGUUCCAUUUUGGGAGGGCGUGUCACUACAAGCGGCUGCUCUUAAUCUUCAGCUACUUGGAUAAUAAUUGAUUUUGUCAGGCAAUUGUUUCUGUUUCUCUGUACAAAUAUCUAUACUUAAGGGUAUUUUUGGAACAAUUAUAGAAACUUUUCAACGAUGUAUUGUUGAUGUGUGGCAUAUAUGGCAUACUAUGGACAAUGUGUGAGAUCUUUUAUGAUUAUAAAAAAGUAGUUUUCCAGUAGUCACAAGUAAGGAUGAUUGCAGAUCGAUCGAUUUUUUGCAUUAUACAAUCUCAAAUUAAUAUUUUGUGAAACUAAAAGGCUCUUCUACCAUAAAUUAAGCAAACAAACAUAAUUAUCAAGAUCAAAUUGAAUAGACUGUAGUUUAUUAAGCGAAAUAAGAGACGUUUUGUGUCUUGUACAAGCAGAAACAUUGUGACUGCGUCGAAGAAUGAGAAUUAGCUGGAACUCUGACCCCGACCUCCUCUCCUUCUCAUAUUUAAAUUCGAAUCGGCGCCGGCGCCACCUGUCAGUCCGUCGCUGUACUUUUGCACGAUCCGAGCCCCAUCGUCGUGUACUUGCCUCACUUGCAUACUGCCCUGCCCCUGCCCCUGUCCCCUUGCCCUUGCGCCUGCUGAAGCUCCUCAGAAACGGAGAUCGCCAACGACGCGAAACUGCAGUGUGGCCCAAAGGCAAGAACGUUAAAAACAUUGUUCUCGUUAUACAGAAAUCAUGUCUGCUCCCCCCGUACCCAGCCCUGGCAGAUCGUUUCGGUCGUGGCCAGUACAAAAUGGCAAAAUGUACAAUGAGAUUGUGCAUGCGGGACGGGUGCGGGAAUGGGCCACACAGAAAUCAGGGUAGGGACAACAGCAAACAGCGAAUGCUGGCGAUAAAAGUGCAGCAAAGAUGUUUUCAUUGAGCAUUGAUACCAGGUUUCUAAUGACAUAAAUGCUAUCCAGACCACUCGGGUUAUCUCUCUCUCUCCAUUUCCCCGCUGCGAAUGUCCUAAACCGCAAUGACCCCGAUCGCCACAGGAGCAUUGUCUGCUAGACUAGCGUCCCUAUCCCUGUCCCUACUCCUGUCCCUGUCCCUGUCCAUUCAAACUACUUUCCAGACCAGAGAGGAGUAAAAAUGAUAUUCGUAAGGGGCCAAUGCGCCGACACCCCGCUGCGGUGUGAGCACACAGCCGCCUAUAAUUGAGUUAUACAUUCGACUGGGCUGCCCGACUGACCCCUGGUGCUGGUAUAUAGAAGAACCUCUUCCCGAGGAUUCGGGUGGGUUCGCAGCAGCUUAGCGGACAAUGUUUUGACAUAAAUAAAUGCUUGAAUGACUUUAAGUGAUGGCAUUUUACGUUGACUUUCUAUACCCAAACAGCAGUUUGGCAUGAUUUAUGGCGGGCGAUCUGGCGACUUCUUCUUAGGAGAUUACCUUUGUAUACUCCUCGUAUCGUAUCGUAUGGCUCUGGUGCUGGUGCCUGUGGAAGACGGGGGAUGGGAUGGCUUGGGUUGCGAUCCGAUGCGGAUGCUCCUGAUGCUAAUUCGUUGUUCAGGUAGUGAGCGGAACACAAUAUAUUUUUAUACGCUACGCUGCCAUUUAUCGGUCCGCUUUCGGACACAUUUAUACUAUGUCUUAAUUUAACGCAGAUGAUAUUGUUACUUCACAUCAACAUAAACAGUGUGUGGCUUCAAUUGUAAAAAGUAAUUAACUACUGCUAUUGUUCAAUUCUAAAACUGAUCAACUAGUGAGGGCCAGGAUCAAAUCCAGCAAAACAAUUUACGUGAAUGUGUUAGCCAUACACAUAAUUGAACAACAACAUAUGUAUUUGUGUUCUAUAAAUCAGAUUAUUAAUUAUUACAGCAAUUCUUUACAACAAUUUACAUGGCCCCGAACACAACAAACACAGCAACAUCAUUUUACAUGAGGCAGUGGCGCAGUCAGCGGCCAUUAAUGGAACUACACUGCGAAGAUGGCGUUGCAUACUUUUAGGUAGCUAGAAAUUAC